GAUGACUCUGCUGUCUGCUCUAAAGAACAAGCUCUACAUUUUGUUUGUUUUGUUUUUAUUUAUUGUUGUGAUUUCGAAUGCGUUUUUCGAAAUAUUGCUUUUAGAAGAGCGCUCCCAUGUCCAGACAAAAAUGCGUUAGCUGGCUGGAUAACUUAGAUUUUUACUGCACCACCUACAGAGUUUGUCAGGGAAGGUUGUCUAGCUAUGCUUACUAAUUUGGACUUGGACCCUGCAGACAGAGCCCACGAGUGAGUAUGCUGCAGAUCGACGAUGCCUCGAUGAAGUGAACCUUUGGCUUGAUAGUCACAGAGAGAGAAGGCAAGCUAGCUGGACGGCUGGGCUGGUUAGGUGGACAGCAGCAGGGACGCUCGGCUGAUGGACGGCUGCCUAGCGGUUCUCAGCACUUUCGGAGGAAGAUGGUUGGCGAGCGGCGCUUGAGCUGAAUGUCGGAUGCAGCAAGUCCUCUGAUGACGAUGUGGAUGCUAGUCCGUAAAGUGGCUCAGGGUGCGCUCUUGCCGCACCCUUCGCCCAUCAACAUUUUGCCACUGCAGCAGUCACUUCCACCAACGAUGAGAGCUCUUGGUACCUCGAGGACAAAAUCCUGCAUGACAACGUCUCAGUACGUUCUGUGUGCCAACACCCAUUGUAUUCAGCGAUGUCAGCUACUUUAGUACGAAUGCUCCGCCAGCAGCAGCCGAGUGGAGCAGUUUGUUGAGACCCUUGAGAGGCAGAGAGCCUGAGGGCAUGUGGAAUUUGCUCUCAAUGGUUAGAGAGAUGUUUUAGAGGAACGACAGAAAUGCGGUGCCUCUCUUGGAAAUUUUCACAGAAGAGUGCAUGAUGUGUGAACAGAUUAUGAUCUGGUGGUUUCACGCUAAGGUAGCUCCACUGCGCUGUGCCCAGCGCAGCCAUUUCGCCCCCCUUCAGGUCCAGCAACUCAGUGCGACCUGAAGACAACAACCUCUCUCCUCAACUCCGCAAGACUGACUUGCCCAGUGACCACAGGCCGACUCGCUGCGCCUCACCACUUACAUCCAAAAGUUCCAGACUUGGAAAUCUUGCACCGCUGGCUCUCUCACGCCGCAAGGAUUGUCCCUUCUGCCUCAUAGAUGCCCAAGGACACCUUGUUCGCCAACAGCAAUAACUCGCUGUGACGACUCCUCGUCAUGCAAGCUGCCAACGACCGAACCAACCACUGACCUUCAAACUCAUCACCAUCACAGGUCAACUUCAGCCCCCACUUUGACACCUCCAGUGUCUGGGGAAAGCCCUUGUAGCAGCCGCCGCCAGGUGGCGCGCGGUUCUCCAACUGCCACCUGAAACGAACAACCCCACAUCAUGGGCAGUGCUCUUCUCGUCUUCUCCGAUCUAACAACAGCCACGGUCCCCGCUGCGGAUCUCUCUUCAUCCCCGAACCCACCAUGGGGUAAUUGUCUUUUGAUCCCAUAAUAACAUUCACCAACAAGCGCCCCUGUCGGAAACAUUCUGCGAACAAUAACUCUACAGUUCUCAGUGAAAAAUCUCUCCCCCAAAUAAGCACAUUUUCUUCUCACCACCGUGUACUUUUCCCCAAUCAAUUCACAAACAAUCACUCAUGCAUUUCUUACAACAAAUUCUCUCCAACAGUGUUAAUCGUACAACGCAACAAAUUUAUUAUAAUUGUAUUUACAAUGUGAUAUUUAUUUUGUGUAUUUUAAUUUCAGUUUGGGCCUGAUACAAAAACCUAAAAACAA